AACGAACGCUGGCAGCGUGGAUUAGGCAUGCAAGUCGAACGAGAAUUGUUUUUUCAAUUCUUCGGAAGAGAAUUUCAGAGGGAAGUGGCGUAAGGGUGAGUAACGCGUGGGCAAUCUGCCCUCGAGUUCGGGAUAAUCCUGCGAAAGCGGGACUAAUACCGGAUAUGGUGGUUCUGUUGGUUCAGGAUUAACCAAAGGUGGGGAUUCUUCGGAACCUGCCGCUUGAGGAGGAGCCCGCGUCCCAUCAGUUAGUUGGUAGGGUAAUGGCCUACCAAGGCAAAGACGGGUAGCCGGCCUGAGAGGGUGAUCGGCCACACUGGGACUGAGACACUGCCCAGACUCCUACGGGAGGCUGCAGUCGAGGAUCAUUCGCAAUGCGCGAAAGCGUGACGAUGCGACGCUGCGUGUAGGAUGACGGCCUUCGGGUUGUAAACUACUGUCAUAAGGGAGAAGCCGGUACAUGAUUAAUACUUGUGUACCCCGAUGUUACCUUAAGAGGAAGCCACGGCUAACUCUGUGCCAGCAGCCGCGGUAAUACAGAGGUGGCGAGCGUUGUUCGGAUUUACUGGGCGUAAAGGGUGUGUAGGUUGUCAUGUAUGUCGGAUGUGAAAUUCCGGGGCUCAACCCCGGCGCUGCAUUCGAAACUGCAUGACUAGAGUGCGGAAGAGGUAGGCGGAAUUCUUGGUGUAGCGGUGAAAUGCGUUGAUAUCAAGAAGAACACCGGAUGCGAAGGCGGCCUACUGGUACGUUACUGACACUCAUACACGAAAGCUAGGGGAGCAAACCAGGUUUAGAUACCCUGGUAGUCCUAGCUGUAAACGGUGUGCACUCGAUGUUGGCGGAAUUGUCCCCGCCAGUGUCUAAGC
rnacentral:rRNA from 1 species